rnacentral:rRNA from 1 species
AACGAACGCUGGCGGCAGGCCUAACACAUGCAAGUCGAGCGAGACCUUCGGGUCUAGCGGCGGACGGGUUAGUAACGCGUGGGAACGUGCCCUUUACUACGGAAUAGUCCCGGGAAACUGGGUUUAAUACCGUAUACGCCCUUUGGGGGAAAGAUUUAUCGGUAAAGGAUCGGCCCGCGUUAGAUUAGAUAGUUGGUGGGGUAAUGGCCUACCAAGUCUACGAUCUAUAGCUGGUUUGAGAGGAUGAUCAGCAACACUGGGACUGAGACACGGCCCAGACUCCUACGGGAGGCAGCAGUGGGGAAUCUUAGACAAUGGGCGCAAGCCUGAUCUAGCCAUGCCGCGUGAGUGACGAAGGCCUUAGGGUCGUAAAGCUCUUUCGCCAGGGAUGAUAAUGACAGUACCUGGUAAAGAACCCCGGCUAACUCCGUGCCCAGCCCGCCGCGGUAAU